UGCGUAGGCGGUUUGUUAAGUCUGUUGUGAAAUCCCCGGGCUCAACCUGGGAAUGGCAAUGGAUACUGGCAAGCUAGAGUGUGUCAGAGGAUGGUGGAAUUUCCGGUGUAGCGGUGAAAUGCGUAGAGAUCGGAAGGAACAUCAGUGGCGAAGGCGGCCAUCUGGGACAACACUGACGCUGAAGCACGAAAGCGUGGGGAGCAAACA
rnacentral:rRNA from 1 species